UGGAGAAAACAAAACGUAUUUCAUACUCCAGCUGGUUUUAGAUUUGAUUAGUGUGUUAAUUCAACCUGCAAAGUUUAAAGAAAGGACAAAUCUAACAAAGGACAGAAUCAUGUCUGAUCUACGGGCCUCUAAGGAAAACCUUCAAGGAAAAGUACCUGAGCGCUGGUGAUGGGUAAAUGUCUUAUGGGACAGACCUGUGUUGCCUAAUCCAAGAUUUUAUUUUGGAGGCUGGAGAGAUGACUCCAUGGUUAAGAGCACUGGCUACUCUUGCAGAGGACCCAGGGUUAGUUCCCAGCACCAAAUGGCGGCUGACAGCCCUCUGGAACUGCACGUCUAGGAGAUCUGGCGCACUCUUCUGACCACCGAGGGCUCUGCAUGACACAGGUGCAGAGCAAUACACUCAUAUACAUGAUACAACAAAAAUAAAAAUAUUCAAAGAUUUUAUUUUUAAUUA